UUUUUGAUAAAUAUGUGUGGUAUCCUUCUUUGCCCCAUUAGAAACACAGAUUGAGCCUCGAUAAUGUAAUUGGUCCCUGUGGACAUUGUUUGGUCCAAAUCAUUUUCAUUUCGUGUGAAUUCAGGAGCACAUUGAGUUGCAAUCUGGAAAAAAAGAUAUAGCUAAAAGAAAACAACUUUGAUGCAGCCAAGAUUAUUGAAGGAGGAACAUUUGUGUGACGCUCAGACGAAAAAUCGUCAUCUCAAGAUGCAAUUACUACCAGAGUAGAUUAUACAGUGAAAGAUGAAGAAGUUUUAAGAGAACGAAAUAGAUUAGAAAAAA